GGGGACAGCCAGCCAUGGCCCUGCUGCUGCUGGCCCUGCUCCCCGCUGUCACCGCCCUGGUGCUGGUGGGGCCAGAGGGCCCCCCCUCGAGCCCCCAGACCCUGCCCGCGGGGGACACCGAGGAUGGCCUCUGGCUGCAGCCGGGUGACAGGGACAUCACGGGCGGGGGGCGGCAGCUCCACACCAGCUGGCGCUGCUGGAUCUGCAGGAGCACCGUGAAGUCACUCGGCAAGGUGGCCCGUGACAUCAGGGACAAGGAGAAGGUGGCCCGUGUCACCCAGCGCGUCUGCGGCUGGAUGGGGCCCCUGGGGGCCAGUUGCCACCACCUGCUGCGGCACUGGGUGACACCCAUCAUGGACGCGCUGGCGCACGGCGAGGCCCCCACCCACGUCUGCACCCACCUGGGGCUGUGCCACAAGGCAUCCUGAGCCAGGCACCAGCUGGCUCCGACGACCCCCGAUGGCACCCGUGUCCCCCACAUGUCCCCCACAUGUCCCCAACGCUGUGACCACCCCGUCCUUCCCAGCACAAUAAAGCUUUGUCAUCACAGGGGUGGCACCUGCCUGUCCCCUGCGGGGGUCAUACAGGGACCCUGAUGGGAACCCCCAUGCGGACCCCGAUGG